ensembl:lncRNA
CCCUGUGAAUGCAUUCAGCAGUACAGCUGACUAGGGGUCCCCCUGUGAAUGCAUUCAGCAGUACAGCUGACUAGGGGUCCCCCUGUGAAUGCAUUCAGCAGUACAGCUGACUAGGGGUCCCCCUGUGAAUGCAUUCAGCAGUACAGCUGACUAGGGGUCCCCCUGUGAAUGCAUUCAGCAGUACAGCUGACUAAGUAUCCCCCUGUGAAUGCAUUCAGCAGUACAGCUGACUAGGGGUCCCCCUGUGAAUGCAUUCAACAGUACAGCUGACUAGGUGUCCCCCUGUGAAUACAUUCAGCAGUACAGCUGACUAAGUAUCCCCCUGUGAAUGCAUUCAGCAGUACAGCUGACUAAGUAUCCCCCUGUGAAUACAUUCAGCAGUACAGCUGACUAAGUAUCCCCCUGUGAAUACAUUCAGCAGUACAGCUGACUAGGUAUCCUCCUUUCCCUAUACACCAAAGUCAGUGAAUUAGGACAAAGUGCACUGUAUACUACUAUCACAAUCUUGAGGGGUCUGUUGCUUUUACAUUUUAAGUCAUUUAGCAGACGCUUUUAUCCAGAGCGACUUACAGAAGCAAUUGUGGUUAAGUGCCUUGGUCUAGGGCACCUUGUCAUCUCGGGGAUUCGAACCAGUGACCUUUCAGUUACUGGCCCAGCGCUCUUAACUGCUAGGCCAAAACUGACAGCAGCUACAAAAUACUACACAGAUGGCUUGACUAUGUUUGGGUCAGAAUGUGUGUUCCUUGGUGCACAUACAAAUACAUCUGCAGUUUGAUUUAGUUCUAUUUUAAAAUAAUAAGACGAUAAAUAAUGCAGUAACAAAAGAAAAGUGUUCUGAGUUUUAACACUUCAUUUCAUCUUGUUACAACGUACCCUCUGUUUUGUAAAGAUUUGUCUGAUGAGAAC